AGCGAACGCUGGCGGCAGGCUUAACACAUGCAAGUCGAGCGGGCCUUUCGGGGUCAGCGGCGGACGGGUGAGUAACGCGUGGGAACGUGCCCUCUGGUUCGGAAUAACUCAGGGAAACUUGAGCUAAUACCGGAUACGCCCUUUUGGGGAAAGGCUUGCUGCCGGAGGAUCGGCCCGCGUCUGAUUAGCUGGUUGGUGAGGUAACGGCUCACCAAGGCGACGAUCAGUAGCUGGUCUGUGAGGAUGAUCAGCGACACUGGGACUGAGACACGGCCCAGACUCCUACGGGAGGCAGCAGUGGGGAAUAUUGGACAAUGGGCGCAAUCCUGAUCCAGCCAUGCCGCGUGAGUGAUGAAGGCCUUAGGGUUGUAAAGCUCUUUUAUCCGGGACGAUAAUGACGGUACCGGAGGAAUAAGCCCCGGCUAACUUCGUG
rnacentral:rRNA from 1 species